rnacentral:rRNA from 1 species
GCAAGUCGAGCGCAUCCUUCGGGAUGAGCGGCGGACGGGUUAGUAACGCGUGGGAACGUGCCCUUCUCUACGGAAUAGCCUCGGGAAACUGAGAGUAAUACCGUAUACGCCCUUCGGGGGAAAGAUUUAUCGGAGAAGGAUCGGCCCGCGUUAGAUUAGAUAGUUGGUGGGGUAACGGCCUACCAAGUCUACGAUCUAUAGCUGGUUUUAGAGGAUGAUC